GCCCCGUUCGCUUAAUGGUAAAGCAGAUCAUUGGUAAUGAUCAGCCGGUGGUUCAAUUCCACCACGGGGCACCA
rnacentral:tRNA from 1 species